GAUGAACGCUGGCGGCGUGCCUAAUACAUGCAAGUCGAGCGAACAGAUGAGAAGCUUGCUUCUCUGAUGUUAGCGGCGGACGGGUGAGUAACACGUGGGUAACCUACCUAUAAGACUGGGAUAACUCCGGGAAACCGGGGCUAAUACCGGAUAAUAUUUUGAACCGCAGGGUUCAAUAGUGAAAGACGGUUUCGGCUGUCACUGAUAGAUGGACCCGCGCCGUAUUAGCCAGUUGGUAAGGUAACGGCUUACCAAGGCGACGAUACGUAGCCGACCUGAGAGGGUGGUCGGCCACACUGGAACUGAGAUACGGUCCAGACUCCUACGGGAGGCAGCGGUAGGGAAUCUUCCGCAAUGGGCGAAAGCCUGACGGAGCAACGCCGCGUGAGUGAUGAAGGUCUUCGGAUCGUAAAACUCUGUUGUUAGGGAAGAACAAAUUUGUUAGUAACUGAACAAGUCUUGACGGUACCUAACCAGAAAGCCACGGCUAACUACGUGCCAGCAGCCGCCGUAA
rnacentral:rRNA from 1 species